AGUCUGCACAGGAGGAUCUUUCCUGCUCAGGAAGAUGGUCAAACCUCAUAGAGGUAGUUUCAAACCACAGGACAAUUUCUGUGUCUUCACAGAGAAGAAAGCACUGUUAAUUCCUGUCAGCAGUCCAGAACACAGAUGACCUACAGGAUUUCUGUUCCUUUCCAGCUUUUUAUUUUACCAUUGAUGCUUCCUUUCUCCUAUAA
rnacentral:lncRNA from 1 species